UACGUAGGGUGCGAGCGUUAAUCGGAAUUACUGGGCGUAAAGCGUGCGCAGGCGGUUCGUUGUGUCCGUCGUGAAAGCCCCGGGCUUAACCUGGGAACUGCGAUGGAAACUAGCGAGCUGGAGUGUGGCAGGAGGGGGUGGAAUUCCGCGUGUAGCAGUGAAAUGCGUAGAGAUGCGGAGGAACACCGAUGGCGAAGGCAGCCGCCUGGGCCUGAUCUGACACUGAGACACGAAAGCGUGGGGAUCAAACAGG
rnacentral:rRNA from 1 species